CUCCGGGGAUAACAGGCUGAUACCGCCCAAGAGUUCAUAUCGACGGCGGUGUUUGGCACCUCGAUGUCGGCUCAUCACAUCCUGGGGCUGAAGCAGGUCCCAAGGGUAUGGCUGUUCGCCAUUUAAAGUGGUACGCGAGCUGGGUUUAGAACGUCGUGAGACAGUUCGGUCCCUAUCUGCCGUGGGCGUAGGAAAAUUGAGAGGAGCUGCUCCUAGUACGAGAGGACCGGAGUGGACGAACCUCUGGUGCACCGGUUGUCACGCCAGUGGCAUGGCCGGGUAGCUAAGUUCGGACGGGAUAACCGCUGAAAGCAUCUAAGCGGGAAGCCUCCCUCAAGAUGAGUUUUCCCAUGAAGCCCGUUGAAGACUACGACGUUGAUAGGCAAGGUGUGGAAGCGCAGUAAUGCGUGAAGCUAACUUGUACUAAUUGGCUGAUUGUCUUGACCAUAUAAUCUGAG
rnacentral:rRNA from 1 species